rnacentral:lncRNA from 1 species
ACCAGUGUACUCUCAGUCUCAGCCACUGCAAUAUAUCCACUAAUAGCGGACUUAUAUUGUCGAUUGGAGAGUAUCACAUGGCAUGUUGCUUGGUGAAAUUUUCUUCGCCUCUUUGUUAUUGGAAAAGUUGGGCCAGUGAGAAAGUGACUGAAAUUAUAAUGGAUAGAGCAAUCCCAUGUGAGCCAUUGAAGAAGUGGGUCCUCAAAGGCUCCUAUCUGGUAUAAUCUUUUUGUUCUCCUCUCCGGUUUCUAGUUUAUAAAUACUACAUAUGAAGUAAAGCCAUUCUCAUCCAACAAAUACUCAAUUUCCUAAAUUAAAUUGCAUAUCAAGCAGAACACCAUUCAAACUCACUCACCCUUCUCUUGUUUAGAAUAAAUAUUUGACAUGGGAAUUCGUUUGCCAUCUAUUCUUCUUAAUGCCAAGCAGGUCCUGAAAAUGCAAGCUAUGUCUGCCAGAAAUCAAUCUGAUGUUCCCAAAGGCCAUAUUGCAGUUUACGUGGGAGAGAUUCAAAGGAAGAGAUUUGUCGUCCCUAUAUCAUACUUGAAGCAUCCUUCUUUUGUAGAUCUGCUCAAUAGAUCAGAAGAAGAAUUUGGAUUUUGCCACCCAAUGGGCGGCUUGACGAUUCCAUGCCGAGAGGAUGCUUUCAUAAAUCUCACUGCCAGGCUGCACACGUCAUAAAAGAGAACAAAAAAGAAAUGUUCUUGAUCACAGUUUUGUCACCUAUAAUUUUAGGAAGUAGAGUAGGAUACUGUACAGUAACUUCGUUGUUUGAGCAAUGGAAAUUACAUUCUUCUCAUAUGAAAAAUUUCUCUUCAGCUCAUGAAUUUGGCGUUUUUUGCUGAUUACUUCUUUUUCUCUGGGUGCUAUAUCAUCAGUUAAUCUUUUUAUUCCUGCCAGUACUUUAUCACAAACCUUCAAAAUAAUUCACUUAUAACAAAAUCUGACCAAGAACUUCUGAGUUGGGUUGUGAUGCUCAUCGUUCCUACAACAAAAAAGAUUUCCCUUCUUUGCAAAAGCUGCAAUGAAAAAGAGGAGGUAGCAUGUCAAAUGCAAUGUGAAAGAUAUGAUUUCUUGUUAGAUGGAUGUCAAAUGCUUCUUUGAACUUUGUUUUUAGUAUUAUAUUACAAAUGAGGGAAGGGGAUUUGUACUGAAGGAAUCUAGAUUAUUUCUCUAGUCCAGACAAAUGAGGCUCCAAAGGAUGUUUCAAAAAAUUCCGAGCAUAUCAUUUGCUUCAAAACCUUUUUCUUAAGAUUAUUAAUACUAUUGAGGUCAUUUAUUCUUAUGGUUGGAGUGUUACAUUUAUAAGUUAACAUGUUAUCCUAUUGUGGAGGAUAAAUAUUUUAUUCUUCAUAAACCCGAGAAAUACUAGGAAUGAUUUGUCUUGAAGCAACAGCUAUAGAUAAAUGUAUUUCUUUUUCUACAAUGGCAUUUAAUAACAGAAACAUAAAAAUCUACAUGCACAAUAGGAUCAGUGUUGAGAUAUUUAGACAUAAAACUCUGUACCCAAGAAAUUAUCAAGGAAAAAACAAGCGGCAUAGGUCAAGAAAGAGAGUUCAUAAAGAAGUUCUGAUGCUUGUGUUGAGAGAGAUGGAAGAAACGUACAAUUAUGGUCAUGGACUCAUGGUCGCUGAUGAUUUCAGCUUAUUCAUCUGAAAAACAAAGAACGAGCGAAAAGCAGCAAGCAGCAAUUGUCCCAUAUAACUUAUCAGCAGUUGGAGCAAUUUUCUGGAAGGUCUCAUGACUAUGAACAAAUAGUAUGAACUCAUUCUCCAAUUGUAGAAUCACUCAAUCCAAGAUUCAGUUCUUGUAAACUCCACCUGCAUUUUGUUCAAUGAACAGAAUAUGGUUGUCUUAUUUGAAUUUUGACCUUUUUAUAUUGUGAAGGUAGUCUAUCAGUUCAUUUUUAAAAUAUGUACAACAAAUAUCCACUUCUGCAAUUUUGAUAGCAAUGAACAGACGAGUAUCAAAGAACAUGCAAAGGAAACAGGAAAUGAUACCGAAAAUCUAUUGUAUGAUGCUUUGGAAAGAAAUUUACUAACAAAGAAACUCAUCUGAAUUCCUUAAGGCUUGAAAUUGUAUGUAUACACAACAUUCAAGCAGGAAAUAGAAAGAAAACAAGAUAGGAACAUAGAAGAAAGAAUAUGUCAAGAAUUCAUUAACGGUUAUUUUGUCAUGUUCAUCCUUUGAGUGUUUUAAUCGAGAAGCGGGAUCAAUGAAGCAGUCCUUGCAAGGAAUUGUAAGACAUUCUUGUUAAUGAUGGAAACUGAAACCUUCUUCUACUCUGGUUGAGUAAUUGUUAGAAAAAGGUCUAGGAAUGAAAUGGGAACUACAAACAGCUUCGCUUGAAGAUUUCCCAGAUAUACUACAAAAUAACCUCUAGGAACAUCUGAUGCUUCAUGUUAAAACCCAUUAGCAUCUUGACAAUCUAUUUUGCACAAGAAAUCAAGAAUGAUGGUAAACGAAUCCCCAUUCUCAAGUCCAUAUGCAACAGUCGAAAAGCAACAAACGGAUCUCAACUUUGAUCUAGGUCGGUGUCGAUGUAGUUGGAUGUAGAAUUGCGAAAUUUCAGGUAUUAGAAACUCAUCUACGAUCUAUAUUUAUAGAAUUGUGAGGAAAAAUGUUGACUGAGCACUGCUAAUGUGCUUUUAAAAGCGGGCUCCCUAGACAACUUAGAAGACCCACUUACCAUGACUUUGUCAGCUCACAAGAAUUUUCCAUUCCCACUCAUCCUUUCUCUUGGCCCCUUGUGUGUUGGAUAUGUAUGCUCAUAACUAUGCUUGUUCCUGUGGAAUAAUAGAUCAAAACAGAUGGAUUGUAAAAACAAGCCGACAUAUCCUUGUGAUCGGACCUCCUAGCAAGAGGAAAUUGCUUCAUCAUUGGACCCAGCUUCUAGGUAAGGAAAGCGACUUCACACGAACCAAUGCAUUAGAUCAUAUCAUAUCACCAUAUUUCAUCUGAUUCGCAGAUUAGUUAGGUCCACUGGUGGAGCACUUCAUGAGAUUUGGAGAGUAUCACAUGGUAUGUUCCUACUCAUUUGACA